GUUAAUUAUAAAUAUUUACAAAUGCAAAAUGUUUUGUGGUAAUAUGACACUGUGAGUAAUACAAGAAAUGAAGUUAUUGAUAUAAAGAAAGACCUAGUUUACAAAUGAGUACUCUAUUUACAGUAUAUAUGUAAUUGAAGAAGUUUGGGAGUUAGUUAGAUAGCCUAUAUUGACUGUCAGCAUUCCGAGCUUCAAGGCGUUUAGAUCCCUUCUCAAACCAUAAAGAGAUAAAUUUUGAUAAUUUUAUCACGGUUUCUUUAUCAGUUGUUUUCAUUAUCUCAACUGAUAAACUGUGUUCGUUUAAUUUGUCAACCACAAUUCAUUGCGCGCCCAAACCUCCUUGGCGGCCAUUUUAAUGGCGGAAUAAUAGAUGUUUCGGUUUUCAAUCCAUAAUAUAUUACUACCAUCCUGUGGUUAUACUUGCUAAUUUUUACUUUUUUAUACUAAAAUUGCACCAAAGAAAUGUUUAUAAUCUUCAUUUGUUGCUAUUUCUCACUACCGAAGGUAAAGAUGUGAACAAAUGCAUUGUGGUUGACAAUGAUUCUUUAAAUCUGUUUCAUUGGUGAGAUCACAUUCCAAGUCAUUUAAUAUAGUCCGAUUAAUAGUCAUUUAAUAUAGUCCAAUACAAUAUAGUCCGAUUUACACUACGAAACCCGGGCUCGUCCCUACAGGUUAUAGUAUCUGAAGUGCAAUAAUGCGCCUAACCGGGGUUCGACCAGAUUAGUCGACCCUGUAGUCUGGAAUAGAUUCUUCAGACCAUUAAGCACAUCAAUCCAGGCCGCUUCGAAUUCGGAGCGAGAUAAAAUUUGGAACAACAACGAUAAUACACAACUGCAGAUUAACAUUAUUGAUUGCAUUUUCCAAGUAUGGGAAAAAAACUGAACUGAUUUCCCGCUUUCACAAAUCAUUUCGAUUUUCGUCCCGCUUCGUACUGGUUUUACAAAAGUACAAGUUUGCUCGUCUGAAUUCAGACGGCCAAUCGUUGCCUUCACAAAAAUUCAGAAACAAUAAACCCUACGCAAAUAAAUUACCAAUAGAGAAAUAUGGAGGGCAAGCCUAUACUUAUAUCUAAAGACUUAUAUACUUUCAGCUUGUAGUGGCGAUUGUUGUGAUCACAGUAACUCUUCUCUACUUGAGGAACGUAGUUAUUAUACAUGGUAAGUGAUCUCAAGGAAAUGAAAUAUACGCUUGCUAAGGGCUGAUUAGAUAUCCUGGGUGCCUGGGAUGGGGUGGCAGAUUAAAAAAAUCAUGCAAAGAGUGGAGUCUAAAAACAAAAUUCAGGCAAGCAUGUAGGGAAAGAAAAAAAAUCCUGCAACUACAUGGAAUAUACAGAAAUAUAUAGAAAAAUUCCUGCACAACUUCUACACCAGAAAUUCGACGAAGCUCCGAACUUAAUAAACGCAAGGAAAAUUUCCCCCCCCCCCCCCCCCCAGGAUAUCUAUGUAAUAGUCCAUCCCUAAUAUAGGAAUGCCUUUCUUCCGUCUGAGACAUUAGGGAGAUAGGUUGGUUAUUAUAACUGAUAGGUAAUGGUGGUG